rnacentral:rRNA from 1 species
UACGUAGGUCGCAAGCGUUGUCCGGAUUUACUGGGCGUAAAGAGCGCGCAGGCGGCUGGUCAAGUCCGAUGUGAAAUCUCCCGGCUUAACUGGGAAACUGCAUCGGAAACUGAUCGGCUUGAAGGUGGGAGAGGGUAGUGGAAUUCCCGGUGUAGUGGUGAAAUGCGUAGAGAUCCGGAGGAACACCAGGUGGCGAAGGCGGU